rnacentral:rRNA from 1 species
CCUACGGGGCGCAGCAGUGGGGAAUAUUGGACAAUGGGCGAAAGCCUGAUCCAGCCAUGCCGCGUGUGUGAAGAAGGCCUUCGGGUUGUAAAGCACUUUCAGUGGGGAAGAAAGCCUUGGGGCUAAUACCCUCGAGGAAGGACAUAACCCACAGAAGAAGCACCGGCUAACUCCGUGCCAGCAGCCGCGGUAAUACGGAGGGUGCGAGCGUUAAUCGGAAUUACUGGGCGUAAAGCGCGCGUAGGCGGUCUGAUAAGCCGGUUGUGAAAGCCCCGGGCUCAACCUGGGAACGGCAUCCGGAACUGUCAGGCUAGAGUGCAGGAGAGGAAGGUAGAAUUCCCGGUGUAGCGGUGAAAUGCGUAGAGAUCGGGAGGAAUACCAGUGGCGAAGGCGGCCUUCUGGACUGACACUGACGCUGAGGUGCGAAAGCGUGGGUAGCAAACAGGAUUAGAUACCCGAGUAGUC